rnacentral:misc_RNA from 1 species
CGCACAUUGCGCCCCCUGGUAUUCCGGAGGGCAUGCCUGUCCGAGCGUCAUUAGUCCAAUCUCAAGCCUGGCUUGUCGUUGGGUCCCACCGUCCCAGGCGGUUGACCCGAAAUACAACGACGGGGCCUGGUGGACCGUGGAUGCAGCGAGCUUUUACGGCACGCGUCCCGGCGUCAUCUUGGCCCGUCUUCAACUAUACUUCUCUAGGUUGACCUCGGAUCAGACAGGAUUACCCGCUGAACUUAA